rnacentral:rRNA from 1 species
UACAGAGGUGGCAAGCGUUGUUCGGAAUUACUGGGCGUAAAGGGCGCGUAGGCGGCCUUCUAAGUCAGACGUGAAAUCCCCCGGCUUAACCUGGGAACUGCGUCUGAUACUGGGAGGCUUGAGUAUGGGAGAGGGAUGUAGAAUUCCAGGUGUAGCGGUGAAAUGCGUAGAUAUCUGGAGGAAUACCGGUGGCGAAGGCGGCAUCCUGGACCAUAACUGACGCUGUGGCGCGAAAGCUAGGGAGCGAACGGG